AUGGGAAAAGAGAAGAGACACAUCAACGUCUUUUUUCUUGGUGAGAUGAACUAUACCAUGUAUAACUCUCUCAUGAGAGAGCUGGGUGCUAUCAGCAGGAGUGUCAUAGCGGAACUUGAGAAAAAUCCCCAUGGUCCACUUAAGUAUCUCCUUGAGGUUGCCAAGAAGGAGCUUAGAGAUCAAUCACUCCUGUGGAAGUUCGAGGGCAGCAACUAUAUUUUUUGUGUGAUCGAUAAAGCAGAGAAAGCCGAUUGCAUUGUUGUGAUGAUGACUGAAUCCACAACCAGUGGUUUUGAGGCUAAUAUAGAACAACAUGGCUUCCUCAAUGGUGGUAAGCAGAUCAUCUGCUGCUGCAAGAUGGAUGAGCACAGUUACAAUGCAGUAGAGGGACAACUCUCUUCGCAUUUUGUGAAAUCUGGGUCCAAUGACAUAAUUGUGCCAAUAAGUUGUGAUGAAGAAGGGAACAAUAUCUCUAAGAGAGGCUCUAUCUCGAUUGGUACAAUGGUCCUACUCUUUUGGAGGCCUUGA
rnacentral:rRNA from 1 species